rnacentral:misc_RNA from 1 species
AAGUCGUAACAAGGUUUCCGUAGGUGAACCUGCGGAAGGAUCAUUACCAAAAAAUCCAAUACCAACCCCUUUUUGUGAAUACUUUGAAUGUACUUGGGAGAGCUUGGAUCUCUCAAAGUUUUUAUUUUUCUUUAAACUUUGACUGCCUUCUCUCCCACGUUUAUUAACCUUAAAACACCUUUCAUGGGUUAACUAUAUAAUAGUAAUUUCAUACUAAAAAAUAAAAUAAUUUAAAAGUUAAACAACUUUUAACGGUGGAUCUCUUGGCUCGU